GACUGCUUCGGUGGCCUAGUGGUCAGAGCGUUCACCUCAGAUGUGGGAGGUUGCAUGUUCAAACCCCAGCUGAGUCA